GUUCAGUGGUUGAGUUUGUUUCAGUUUCAUUGAGUUUGGUUAGGUACGAUAGAGGAGAAACAGAGCUUCUUCCCUACCUUACUAGUCGCGCGAGUCUUACGAGAAGACCACCACUAGUUCUGCGCUGCAGAGAGCCUCUGCUAACUCCUCGCGGAGUUAGCGACUCCAGCUCGAGCCGAAACUCUCGCUCGUUGUCUCUCGACUAUCGUCGAUACAACUGGUAAUGAUCCUUCCGCAGGUUCACCUACGGAAA
rnacentral:misc_RNA from 1 species